rnacentral:lncRNA from 1 species
CCCUAAUCUGGAGGCUUGGGAGAUAAAAGUUUCUGACCUGGAUCUUGAUAUGGAGAUCUUGAUGCAUAGUGGCUAUGGAUUCCAGAAGAUUAAGACAAGGUGAUCUCUGAGUUCAAGGUCAUCUGGGAUUAAAGGUGUGGUGGCACACACCUUUAAUCUGGGUUAUACCUUCUGCUGGAGACUAUAUAAGGACAUUGGAAGAAGGAAGACUCACUCUCUCUCCUUUCCAUGCUUGCCAUGUGACUCAGCAACUGCUCGAUCCUUGGACUUCCAUUCUAGAGCUCCUACUGAACAUUGUUGGGAGUUGGACUGCAGGCUUGACCGGAGGCCCAUCACAGCAGAAGAGAACAAAGCACUUUAACCUUUAAAGACACAGAAUUCAACAGGUAACAAACCUCAGAAC